rnacentral:lncRNA from 1 species
GGGUGUGGGUGAAGGUGGAAGUGGGUCGGAAGAGGCUGCGGGCUCCACUUUGCCAGGAGUGUAGGGGGAAGGGCUGAGUUGAGGAAACAAUGGGUCUAGCACUUCUGCUGACCUUGUUUUCAGAAACAACCACAGGGCCUCUGGCCCCAGUGGAACUUGACUCAUAAAGGCGAGAGACUUGACUAUUGAAAAAGGUCUCCUAUGAAAUCUGAAUUUCACUUAAUCCUCAGAACAACUGUUGAGGGGGUUGUUACUACUCCCAUUUUAAGACGCGGGCUGUAGAGAGGGUAACCACCCUGUCCACAUUCACACAGCGAACACGUGGUGGGGCAGGGCUCAAGUCCAGGCGAUUCCAAAGUCCCCCCGUGCUGUUUGCGCCACGCGGUGCUCCCACCAAGCCCACUCCGCGGGGAGAAAAACCAUAGGCCUCGGAGGAGGAGCGGCUCCUCGCAGUGGGGUGGGGCAGAGGCCAGCAUGAGGCCUUGUUCACUGGAGGAUUCCACAGGCCUGGAACGGAAAGAAUGAGAGCUCUGCAGGCAGGCAGAGCCCAGGGCGCCCAGUGCCCCCAGGCUGCGACAGCCAAGUCGGUGGGCGCGCAUGGCGGGGCUUGAA